GCGGGUGUGGCGGAAUUGGCAGACGCGCUAGACUUAGGAUCUAGUGCCAAAAGCAUGCAGGUUCGACCCCUGUCACCCGCACCA
rnacentral:tRNA from 1 species